rnacentral:rRNA from 1 species
UACGAAGGGGGCUAGCGUUGCUCGGAAUUACUGGGCGUAAAGCGCACGUAGGCGGCUCUUUAAGUCGGGGGUGAAAUCCUGGAGCUCAACUCCAGAACUGCCUUCGAUACUGUAGAGCUUGAGUUCGGGAGAGGUGAGUGGAACUGCGAGUGUAGAGGUGAAAUUCGUAGAUAUUCGCAAGAACACCAGUGGCGAAGGUGGCUCACUGGCCCGAUACUGACGCUGAGGUGCGAAAGCGUGGGGAGCAAACAGG